UUGUUUUUUAACACAUUUACUAAAGUAAUGCUUAAUUUGCAUCCUUUUAGCUACAGUUUGCCUUGGCAUUUGCAGUAUACAAAAUAUGCUGAUCACUAGUGACCCUUAAGUUUUAACUACCGAAUGGCAUUUCCUCUGGUAGGAGUUUUAAUUGGAAUUUUAAAGGGGAAAACUUUUAUCUGUUUCCACAUUUGCUAGUACCACUUACUAUGGUGCCCUUUACGCCCCUCCUGUAAUGAGCUAAAGUCUAGUUAACUAUAAAGGAAGUCCUCAUUCCAUAUGUUAGUGUCCCAGGAAAACACUUUUUACACUGUGUUUGAAUUGUUCACAUGUACAGUAGUUACCUGGUUUUGUUUUGUUUUAAUGUUGUACUUAAAUGGAACACUUACAGCCAUGAACAAUGUUAUUUAAGCUAUACAGUGCCUUGUCAAUGCGAAGCCAAGUCAAAAAACUGAAAAUAUUCUAAGGUUUUAGUUGUUUGUUUUUUUUAGUUGAAGGUGCACUAUGUAACUUUUCCAGAUUGUCUUCAUGGAAAUAUUAAUGCUUUGCCUGGAAUGUUCCAUGGAUUAGCAUUUCGCAUUAAACCUAUAUAUCUUUUAUUAUUUAGACAUACAAGUUAGAGACUAUAUAUUUGGAGAGAUGAUCCCACUACGGUAUUUUUGAGCAAUAAAAACACAUGUAAUUGAAUAAAUGUAAGACAUUAACCUUUAAUGUAAUACUGUGGAACAUUUUAGAUAAAACAAUAACAUCUCCUAACAAAUAGUUGAUGGACCCCUCACUAGAAAGUUACAUAGUGCACUUUUAAGUUUAUUCCUGCUGGUUAGUCUUAUGUGAGUGCAUGUUUAUUAUACAUGAAAAUAUGUUUUAAAGUUGUAGUUCAUAGUCUAUUUAUAACAUUAUGUUGUGUUUUAGACAAAGGUUUCUCUGACAUGUGAAUUAUGGACUGUUACAGUGUGUAUAGAGUUAAGCAUGUUUUCUGCAAUGACAGUAAAAAUGCAUCUUAAA
ensembl:lncRNA